GCCUGGAUGGCUCAAGUUAGUUAGAGCAUGGUGCUGAUAAUACCAGGGUUGCAGGUUCGAAUCCCGGAUGGGACA